GACAGAGGGUGCAACCGUUGUUCGGAAUCACUGGGCGUAAAGCGCGUGUAGGCGGCUUCUCAAGUCGGGUGUGAAAUCCCAGGGCUCAACCCUGGAAGUGCAUUCGAAACUGGGUAGCUAGAGUACUGGAGAGGAAGGUGGAAUGCUUGGUGUAGAGGUGAAAUUCGUAGAUAUCAAGCGGAACACCGGUGGCGAAGGCGGCCUUCUGGACAGAUACUGACGCUGGGACGCGAAAGCGUGGGGAGCAAACAGG
rnacentral:rRNA from 1 species